rnacentral:ncRNA from 2 species
UGGCCCAAGGAGCGUUGCAGCGGCAGACCCCACCCAGGACGGUGGUGCGUCCCCGUCAGGCUUGGGCUGGCACACACCCUCACAACGACGCUCACCUGUU